rnacentral:misc_RNA from 1 species
CGAAAUGCGAUAAGUAAUGUGAAUUGCAGAAUUCAGUGAAUCAUCGAAUCUUUGAACGCACAUUGCGCCCCUUGGUAUUCCGGGGGGCAUGCCUGUUCGAGCGUCAUUACAACCCUCAAGCUCUGCUUGGAAUUGGGCACCGUCCUCACUGCGGACGCGCCUCAAAGACCUCGGCGGUGGCUGUUCAGCCCUCAAGCGUAGUAGAAUACACCUCGCUUUGGAGCGGUUGGCGUCGCCCGCCGGACGAACCUUCUGAACUUUUCUCAAGGUUGACCUCGGAUCAGGUAGGGAUACCCGCUGAACUUAAGC